GACGAACGCUGGCGGCGUGCUUAACACAUGCAAGUCGAACGGUAAGGCCCUUCGGGGUACACGAGUGGCGAACGGGUGAGUAACACGUGGGUGAUCUGCCCUGUACUUCGGGAUAAGCCUGGGAAACUGGGUCUAAUACCGGAUAGGACCACUGCCUGCAUGGGGGGUGGGGGAAAGCGUUUGCGGUGUGGGAUGGGCCCGCGGCCUAUCAGCUUGUUGGUGGGGUGAUGGCCUACCAAGGCGACGACGGGUAGCCGGCCUGAGAGGGUGACCGGCAACACUGGGCCGGAGAUACGGCCCAGAGUCCUACGGGGGGCAGCAGUGGGGAAUAUUGCACAAUGGGCGCAAGCCUGAUGCAGCGACGCCGCGUGAGGGAUGACGGCCUUCGGGUUGUAAACCUCUUUCAGCACCGACGAAGCGCAAGUGACGGUAGGUGCAGAAGAAGGACCGGCCAACUACGUGCCAGCCGCCGCGGUAA
rnacentral:rRNA from 1 species